CCUACGGGAGGCUGCAGUGGGGGAUAUUGCACAAUGGGGGAAACCCUGAUGCAGCGACGCCGCGUGGAGGAAGAAGGUUUUCGGAUUGUAAACUCCUGUCGUUAGGGACGAUAAUGACGGUACCUAACAAGAAAGCACCGGCUAACUACGUGCCAGCAGCCGCGGUAAAACGUAGGGUGCAAGCGUUGUCCGGAAUUACUGGGUGUAAAGGGAGCGCAGGCGGGAAGACAAGUUGGAAGUGAAAACCAUGGGCUCAACCCAGGAAUUGCUUUCAAAACUGUUUUUCUUGAGUAGUGCAGAGGUAGAUGGAAUUCCCGGUGUAGCGGUGGAAUGCGUAGAUAUCGGGAGGAACACCAGUGGCGAAGGCGGUCUACUGGGCACCAACUGACGCUGAGGCUCGAAAGCAUGGGUAGCAAACAGGAUUAGAUACCCUUGUAGUCU
rnacentral:rRNA from 1 species